rnacentral:tRNA from 1 species
ACUUAGAUAGCUUAACUAAAGCAUUGGUCUUGUAAGCCAAAGAUUGAGAAAUAAUACUCUCUCUAAGUA